rnacentral:tRNA from 2 species
CCUUCGAUAGCUCAGUUGGUAGAGCGGUGGACUGUAGAUGGUCAUUUGACAAGACUUUAACAGCGAGCAGUAAUCCAUAGGUCACUGGUUCAAAUCCGGUUCGAAGGA